rnacentral:misc_RNA from 1 species
AAGUCGUAACAAGGUUUCCGUAGGUGAACCUGCGGAAGGAUCAUUAUUGAAAUAAACCUGAUGGGUUGUUGCUGGCUCUCUAGGGAGCAUGUGCACACCUUUCAUCUUUAUAUCUCCACCUGUGCACUUUUUGUAGACCCCCCUUGGGGGUCUAUGUUGCUUCAUUUACCCCAAUGUAUGUUGAUAGAAUGUUUGUGCCUAUAAAAUAUAUACAACUUUCAGCAACGGAUCUCUUGGCUCUC